UUUUGACAGUUGUGCUAUUUUAAAUUCCCAGGCACCUAAAAUAUUUUGUCCUUAAAACAAUGUCGAUUUCUUGGGAAAUUCCGAGGUUGCGUUUUUUUUAUACACCCUGUAUAUCAGUAGACAGAUUUGCAUAAAACACGCAAGACAAGAUCCACGUGCAUGGUCAUGACAGCCACGACCAUCUAGAAACUUUCUACUAUUCUCAGAAACUGAAUUAAUUCUCUGAUUUAUAGAUUAUUUAUUGUACGAUGUGAAGGCUUAAAUUCGUUUGUGAUAUAUAUAAUACCAGACGUUGGUUUUAAAGUAUUGCAGAUGAAGUAUGUCUAUGUACACGCGAAAUUAAACAAUAAACUCCUUUUUUUGAGUUUUGAAAAAUUCCUUUGUCAUACAGGCUUU